AAAGUUCAGCCCCAAACUCGUUAUGAUGAGAACAAUGAAGGAGCGGAAUAAAAAGCGAAAAAGUUGGAAACCCGAGAUUAGCUUCAGAGGGAACAGCUGGUGGGGACAGAUACUGCUGUUUCAGACCUCUCCACACCCCCAGUGGGUAAACAAACCAGCCGUCUGCUUGAUUUAUGGAGCACGUCACUGACCGGAUGGCCAUUAUUCCGACUGAAAGAGGCAGUGGAGAGCCUCGUCGUCAUCGGCGAGACGUGUCCACGGUGCAACUUUUCACAGGUGCGGCAGACUCUUUGUCAGUUUGGCAUCUCCGAAGCGUUUUCCGAUUCAGCAGCUGACAGUCAGGCUGAAUGCAGCCGCCCGGACGCUGCUGUAAAUCAUCAGCACCAAGCACAGAGGAGCUGCUUGGCACCUGGAGACAUGUCUUUGUGUGUCCUCAGUGGAGACUUUGUGGAGUGAUUAAUCAUUACACUUCUCAACAUUAGGAGUUGGAACCUUGUGGGGUAAUGUAGUGUUGGAGAGUGGAGAGCCAGGUGAGUGAGCGAGUCGGCCAGCCACUAGACAGAACCUCCAAAUCCCAAAGACGGAGCUGCAGGGACAGUAAGAGUUUGGCAACGAGAACACAACAAUUCUGGCAGACAGAAAGAGAGCGAAGAGUGUGACUCAUGGUGAAUAGCUUUGUGUGGAGAAGCUUUGGAGAAAAUGCUUGUUUUCUGUCAUGAAUAAAAUUCAUGGAAACAUGUU